rnacentral:rRNA from 1 species
AUUGAACGCUGGCGGCAGGCCUAACACAUGCAAGUCGAACGAGUGGCGGACGGGUGAGUAAUGUCUGGGAAACUGCCUGAUGGAGGGGGAUAACUACUGGAAACGGUAGCUAAUAACGCAUACCAUCAGAUGUGCCCAGAUGGGAUUCGCUUGUUGGUGGGUUAACGUCUCACCAAGGCGACGAUCACGAGAUGGUCUGAGAGGAUGACCAGCCACACUGGAACUGAGACACGGUCAAGACUCCUACGGGAGGCAGCAGUGGGGAAUAUUGCACAAUGGGCGCAAGCCUGAUGCAGCCAUGCCGCGUGUAUGAAGAGGGUCUGCGGGUUGUAAAGUACUUGCAGCGGGGAGGCGUUACCCGCAGAAGAAGCACCGGCUAACUCCGUGCCAGCCGCCGCGGUAAUAC